UUGCAGAGGAGAAGAGGGAGAAAGAAUCUUCUCUGUUCAACAGGGAUGUAAGUGAUGAGCCGUUAACUACCACAGAUAAAGGAGCACUCCAAGAAGCAAGCAGUCCAAGUGUUCCGAGUAGGACUAUGCCAUGUGCACAGCUUCUGCAGUUCCUUCAGAGGAACAUCAUUAGUGCUUCUGCCUCGGUGGCGGGAAUCCUCGUGGCCACAGUGUCGCUGCUGCUGGUGUUGAUCACAUACAUCCGGAGGAAACAGCUAUUAUAUCCUCCAGAAAACAUGACCUAUAAUAUUUUUAUAAUGAAUGGAAAGACUUGGUGGCAAAAAUCUCAAGAAAAGAAGACCAGAAAACACACGGGGAAACAGAAACAGCUGAAGUUAAAUUCCAGUGUCUAAGCCAGGUGGGCGGCCAGCCAACUGGCACUUAAAGCUGUGAGGUGAGACGAUCUCCAUCCUGACAUCGUGGAGAGGCCAUUGGCUUCCUGGCUGCAUGUGAGGUGCACCCUCCAAAACGUUUACCUCUUCCUCUCAAUUUUGAACGGACCAAGAAAACAAUGUUUGCUCACACGAUGCUCGCAGUGGGCAAUGGCACUGAUGACGGUGCAGGAGACUGAGCACAUUUCCCCAGAGAGGAACCUGCCAGACCAUGGAUUUAUUUAUUUAGUAAAACAUUGAUUUGUUUUUUUUCAGCCCUUCAUUGAAU